CGGGAUGUAGCUCAGCCUGGUAGAGCGCCUGCUUUGGGAGCAGGAUGUCGCAGGUUCGAAUCCUGUCGUCCCGACCA
rnacentral:tRNA from 1 species